UGGGCACGGAGCAGGCGCCAUGGU
rnacentral:piRNA from 1 species